GUGGGGAAUAUUGGGCAAUGGGGGCAACCCUGACCCAGCGACGCCGCGUGAGGGAAGAAGGCCUUAGGGUCGUAAACCUCUGUUGUGUGGGAAGAAGGAAGUGACGGUACCACACGAGGAAGUCCCGGCUAACUACGUGCCAGCAGCCGCGGUAAUACGUAGGGGACGAGCGUUGUCCGAAAUUACUGGGCGUAAAGGGCGCGUAGGCGGUCAUUUAAGUCAGCUGUGAAAUGGUCCGGCUCAACCGGAUCAUGCGGUUGAAACUGGAUGACUGGAGUGCUGGAGAGGCAAGUGGAAUUCCCAGUGUAGCGGUGAAAUGCGUAGAUAUUGGGAAGAACACCGGUGGCGAAGGCGACUUGCUGGCCAGCAACUGACGCUGAGGCGCGAAAGCCAGGGGAGCAAACGGGAUUAGAAACCCCUGUAGUCC
rnacentral:rRNA from 1 species